UCUCGAUAGCGUAAAAGUUAACUCAAAUUUUUGUGGAGUUGAAACGUUUGUCUACGUUUGCCGUUAGGGGCGCUGUACCAACUGCGUACAAAUUAGAGUUAACUUUUACGCUAUCGA
rnacentral:pre_miRNA from 9 species